rnacentral:rRNA from 1 species
UACGGAGGGUGCGAGCGUUGCUCGGAAUCACUGGGCGUAAAGCGUACGCAGGCUGUCUCGUAAGUCGGGUGUGAAAGCCCGGGGCUCAACCCCGGAAUUGCGCCCGAGACUGCGGGGCUUGAAUGCGGGAGAGGGAAGCGGAAUUCCUGGUGUAGAGGUGAAAUUCGUAGAUAUUCGCAAGAACACCAGUGGCGAAGGCGGCUCACUGGCCCGAUACUGACGCUGAGGUGCGAAAGCGUGGGGAGCAAACAGG